rnacentral:tRNA from 1 species
AGGGGCUUAGGAUAGCAUAAAACCGAGAGCCUUCAAAGCUCUAAACAGAAGUGAAAAUCUUCUAGCCCCUG